UACGUAGGGUGCAAGCGUUGUCCGGAAUUAUUGGGCGUAAAGAGCUCGUAGGCGGUUUGUCGCGUCUGCUGUGAAAAUCAGGGCUUAACCCUGGACCUGCAGUGGGUACGGGCAGACUAGAGUGCGGUAGGGGGAGAUCGGAAUUCCUGGUGUAGCGGUGAAAUGCGCAGAUAUCAGGAGGAACACCGGUGGCGAAGGCGGGUCUCUGGGCCG
rnacentral:rRNA from 1 species